GGGUGAAAGGGUGGGGUAAGAGCCCACCGCGCGACUGGCAACAGGAGCGGCAGGGCAAACCCCACCGGGAGCAAAACCGAAUAGGGGCGGUGCGAGGGGAAACCUUCGAGGGCUGUUUCCGGCCCACCGUCCGGGUAGGUUGCGUGAGGCGCAUGGCAACAUGUGCCCAAGAUGAAUGGCCGCCAGGUUCUCGUCGCAAGGCGAGGGCCAUACAGAACCCGGCUUACAGGCCAGCUGGCAAU
rnacentral:RNase_P_RNA from 1 species